rnacentral:rRNA from 1 species
CGCGGUAAUACGGAGGGUGCAAGCGUUAAUUGGAAUUACUGGGCGUAAAGCGCAUGCAGGUGGUUUGUUAAGUCAGAUGUGAAAGCCCUGGGCUCAACCUAGGAAUCGCAUUUGAAACUGACAAGCUAGAGUACUGUAGAGGGGGGUAGAAUUUCAGGUGUAGCGGUGAAAUGCGUAGAGAUCUGAAGGAAUACCGGUGGCGAAGGCGGCCCCCUGGACAGAUACUGACACUCAGAUGCGAAAGCGUGGGGAGCAAACAGGAUUAGAUACCCUGGUAGUCCACGCCGUAAACGAUGUCUACUUGGAGGUUGUGCCCUAGAGGCGUGGCUUUCGGAGCUAACGCGUUAAGUAGACCGCCUGGGGAGUACGGUCGCAAGAUUAAAACUCAAAUGAAUUGACGGGGGCCCGCACAAGCGGUGGAGCAUGUGGUUUAAUUCGAUGCAACGCGAAGAACCUUACCUACUCUUGACAUCCAGACAAUCUAGCGGAGACGCUGGAGUGCCUUCGGGAGCUCUGAGACAGGUGCUGCA